GUUCUAACCGCCAGCGGUAAGAGGACAAGGCAGCACUCUAUACAGCUGGAGGCAUACAAGGGUGGGCUGGCUGUGACUUCUCCUCGUCCUCGUCUCUCUGGUAAUUCUACAUACUUAGAAAUUUCCAAUAGUCACCAGGUCCUCGGCACUGAAACAACUGAUUGACUAGAACAAAGAGGAGUAUGGGACCCAUCAGCCCAACCCAGGAGAAAAUCAAAUCUUUUCAUAAAGAGAUCUCCAGUCCUCCAAGAUUAUCCUCUUUGGGAAUUCUAUACUAAGAAGAAUGGAAAGAACCUUCUGCAAUGGACGGGCAGACAACAGGAUGGUGUGCUGCCCUCUCAGAGCCAAGACAAAAAACGUCACUAACAUUGGACAGCUUCUGAAGUUCAGGAUCCAGUGGUGUUAGUGCCAACAUGCACAAUCAACAUUUGCUUUGUGGGAUACCUAAUCGAUCGUAGAUGACUUCAGGAAACUCAGAGUGCAGAAGAACAACGUCCAAGUGAUCUUGGAGCUCCUUCUUGUGUCGUGAAGACAGAAGAUUCUGGAAGUGAACCACUGGCUAGAAUGCCCUCAGGAGUAUGAAAAAGGAAGUCUCUAGCCCUAGAAACUUCAGACUAGGGUGAAGUUUCUGACUGGCAUAUUGAGACAACAGACAGCAGAUCAGAAGCAGCCACAGUGGGCAAGAGGCAAAUUGGAUGAGGUAAGGAUACAAAACCUCUCUUGGCCAAGUUAGAGCAAUCAAAAUGACUCUAGCUCAGUCUUGCUUGAUCUUGUUGAGGACCUUUAGAAGCAAUGGCAUUGGUGGAUAAGUACAGAAAAGACCCUGUCCAUAAUUUGAGAAGCAUCUCCUCCUUAUGACCUCCUAUGGAACAGAAUUUGCUGCACUUCAUAGUGUAAUUUGCUCCAGGACCAAGACUGACCUCUAGGAAUCCCCAAGCUAAGAAUAGUUUGACGAUGACCUGGAAGUCCAGCUCCCAUUCAUGAUUUAUGGAGAAGUGUCUGCUGAGGUAGUCUGCCAUAGUGAUAAGAAGCUGAGAGGACUAUCUGGUUGUCUAGGCACCAAUACCAGAGUUUUAUUGCUUCAGGGCAGAGAGAUGAGAAAUGUGCAUCUCCCUGACAAUUGAUAGAAUACAUGCAGGCCAUGUUGUCUGCCGUUAACUUCAUUGACUUAGCUCUGAUUAGAGGGAAAAAGUGAAGGCAAGAAUUUCUGAAUGCUCUUAACGCUAGGUUGAUGUGAAGGAGCUAUUCUUGCAGUGACCAUUUGCCUGAAUUGUGUGAGGUCCCAGGUGUGCCCUCCAUUCCAAGAGUGAUGUGUCUGAUGUUGUCAAAACAGUUGGUGGAUUCUGGAUAAAUGGGACUCCUGAACAGAUCUGGCCUUGAAAGAUGAGCAAACCUUGCACUUCCUGGGGAUGUGGGUAUCUCCCAAACAAAGGAGCACCAAGGAUGCCCAACACUUACUGGGAUAGCCUCCUAGCCAGAAAUAUACCUCUUAAAACCCAGGGAUGCUGAAAUAGAUCAGAAUAAUCAAAGCGGAAGGGUGCCUGCACCCUUGAAGUGGAGCAUCUAUAGGAACACUACUCAAAGAAGGUAAAUAUUGCUAAAUAGUUAUGCACUAUAGUAUCAAUAUUAUUCGAUUUAACAAUGAUUACUACACUUGAUAGUCAAUGCUGUGUUUAUAUAUUUGUGUUUUCAAACCAGUUUUAGGUGUUUCUUUGUAAAUGCAUGCAUAUAAAAAGGUUUAGUAGAUUAAACAGUUUAAUGAAAAAGUACUCUACAAGCUUGUUUAAAAAUAAAAUUCAAAUUGUCUGAUUUUUCCUUCUCUUAA